rnacentral:sRNA from 1 species
ACUCCUGGCGGGACCUACGCGGUAGAAGUUUCUACUAACUGAAAAGGAAGAGCGAGGGAUUGUUUUCUCUGUGGUCUACAGCAGCAGCACUAUUAUUAAAAAUAUUUGGAAAGACAACCUGUAAAUACAAUCAAGUGGCAUCUUAAAUUUUUGCUGGAAGUGGAGUCAUGAGACUAAAGAUAUCUCUUUUAAAAGAACCAAAGCAUAUCCUUUUAAUGCUUAUAAAUCUUAUUGGAUUUUAAUUAUAGUAUUGUUAAAAGUUUCUCUAUUUUAUAUCCUAGUUGAAGAAUAGAUUUUUUUUCAUUCCUUUAGUGGCUGUUUACCUAAAUUGUUUUAAAAUAUUUAAGAUCACGUGUUAAAAAUCUGGUCCUUCAUCAGAACUAGGAAAGCACUGAUUUAAACAUUUGGUCAGACAUUUUAAAUUGAAUUAGUAAGCUGUGUGGGCUGGACUACUGCUGAAGAGCUGUAUUCAUGUAGUGAUGAUCACCAGAUAGUGAAGUGGAACUUGUUAACCAGUGAAACAACUCAAAUAGUAAAGC